rnacentral:rRNA from 1 species
GAUGAACGCUGGCGGCGUGCUUAACUCAUGCAAGUCGAACGGUGAAGCAGGAGCUUGCUCUUGUGGAUCAGUGGCGAACGGGUGAGUAACACGUGAGCAACCUGCCCCUGACUCUGGGAUAAGCGCUGGAAACGGCGUCUAAUACUGGAUAUGUGAUGUGACCGCAUGGUCUGCAUCUGGAAAGAAUUUCGGUUGGGGAUGGGCCCGCGGCCUAUCAGCUUGUUGGUGAGGUAAUGGCUCACCAAGGCGUCGACGGGUAGCCGGCCUGAGAGGGUGACCGGCCACACUGGGACUGAGACACGGCCCAGACUCCUACGGGAGGCAGCAGUGGGGAAUAUUGCACAAUGGGCGGAAGCCUGAUGCAGCAACGCCGCGUGAGGGAUGACGGCCUUCGGGUUGUAAACCUCUUUUAGCAGGGAAGAAGCGAAAGUGACGGUACCUGCAGAAAAAGCACCGGCUAACUACGUGCCAGCCGCCGCUGUAA